AUAUCCAUAAUAAAGGCUAGAUGUCUUACGGCGGAGUCUCAAACGUCAUCACCGGCGGCCAUCUUGCCUCAGGCAAGCUUUCUGGCGUGCUCUGUGGUACCUAAUGUAAGGAUUUGUUGUGCGACGGGCUCUGAAGAAGCUGUCCUGUGAUGUCUGCCGUGCCAGCUUGGUAACAGAUGCUGCAUCUGCCAUCACGGACCAGCGCUAUCACCUGCUGAAGUUAAAAAACAAUGGAAAUCUGGUGAUUCCAUCAGAAGGCACAGUGAUGUGGUCAGGACAGCAGAGUCGGUCAUUCGUCAGACCUGUCUAUGGCAAAGACAGCCACCACCAUACGCUGUUAACGUUGGUUGUGUCCUUGUUUUUUAAGUUAAGGCUGCACCACAUUGCCAAAAUAACUAACCUUAGCUUACAGAGCAACAACAUGCAACAGAAGCUCAAUAAAACCGUCCUUUUCAAAGGGCAUUAGCCAA